GAAACAGCUGGCACUAUGGUUUUCAUUUUUAUUUCCAAAAGAGAGAACAGUUGCACCUAGGUAGAAGCAAGAACGCAUCACCCCAUCUGCCUUUCCUCUCAGCCUUGACUGAAAGUAGUAUUUGCCAUGAAUUUGACAGCUAAAAGGACAAUGUAGUCAUGUCCCUCAUGCUGCUUUGAAAAUCCAUCAUCAUUUUGCCUAUAACCAGGGGAGAUGCUUUGUCUCUCAGCUAGAACACCAGGUCCCCAGGUAAUACAAGGGGACAUCCAUGGCCAUGAUCAUUAAUGCACAAAAUCCCCCUAUGAGAAAAGAGAAAGAUUUGUUGACUUCUGCUCCUGCUCUGAGUAAGACCCUCUGGGGCUCAAAGCCUCCAAUCUGUAGCCCUACAGAGUCUAUGCUGGGACCUGAAGUAUUCAUGGUUCCAACUAAGACCUUUCACCAGAACUGCUUAAGUCAGUCAUGCAGAGCCCUUACUUGCAAGGGCCCACAGUCUGGCAGAGUAAGCAGAUUCACACACAACUAAGUUACCUGGGUGGGGGUUGGGGGAGCUGGCAGGGAGACUUGCCCUUCUGCAUCUGUAAGCUGCUCUACUGGGGAUGGAACAGAAACGAUUUACUGUCAGCCUGUCCCACUCAGAAGCCUUGGCUCUACAAUCUUAGCACUGGUGGGUCUUUUUUCAAAUCAAUAGGAAAUUCUUUCCUAUCAUGGUGGUCCCUGUGGGAGGCCAUGCCUUUAGUCUAACAAACCGCAGCAUGUUUCUGGCUCCUCUUGGGGAAUUGCUGUUCAAACCUACAACAUGGUGGUAGGGAUUCAUUUUUCAACUGAGCCAAGACUUUAGUGAACAGCAUGGGCAAGGAGGACUCAGAAGCAGGAAUAAAGAAGCAUUUUAUCAAUCAAAAGGCUCAUAGACUGCUCUGGAGGCAGGUCCCAGAAGUGACCACUUCCAAAGCAUAUUGGCUGUACAUGGAGGUGAGAGUUGUCUUUGCUUGCGGGUGAGGAUAGUAUAAGUCUGCAGAGAUCCAUAAUGACUCACCACCCCUCUGGCUAUGGAUGAAAGCUGUAUGUCCAUUGCUGGGAAACUCAAUUCCUCAUUCCUGCCCUUAGAUACUAAGAUGAUUCAAGAAAUCCAAGAGCAGCCCCAGGAACACUUUUUAGAGAUAGGGGAUAAGCUCAGUGAAUAGAGGAUUUCCACCUAGUUCCAGAAAUUGCCCAGAAUGUUGGCUUUCUCUGCAUCCCCUCUCCUGUCCUCCAUGCUGCAUGUGGCAGGGGCUUACCCUCCCUCCUGCUGUUGUCUCCUUGUCCCUGGCUCAUCAAGGCACAGUAGAAAAAUUGAUCCAAAUCCUGGCACCAUCACUUACUAGAUGUCUGAUAUCAGGCAAGGAACUUCACCUCUCAGAGCCUUCAUCAAGAGAAUGGGACAAAGCCUACAUUGGAGAUAAUCAGUGUACAUCCCAUGGCACACAGGCAGUCCAUAAAUAUUCAUUCUCUUCCUUUCUUACCCUUGGGCUUCCUUGCAACCCAAUGGCAAAAGCAGCCAGGAGAAUAGGUUCUGAGAGUCUAAUUUAGCAGGGUCUUUUUGCCCUGCAUCUCCCUCCCCAAAUCCUUACCAACACUGUGAACACUGUAGAGCAGUUAGGCCCUUUCCCCAUCUGCAUCUCCUAGCCCUAUGGCUCCCAGCUAAUCCUCAGCAAAAGUGCCCAGCUCAGAGGGAGCCAUGGAUUUGACCUCUCCAGGACGGAAAAGUCUAGAACCUACACAUGAGGGCAAAAUCCAGUGUCCCUGGCUCUGGGCCCCAGAUCUAAGUCUGCUCCCACCUCCUCCAGUUCAGGACAGAGGAUCUCUGCAGAUCUGCCAGCUCCCCUGGAUUUUCUCUAGAAUCUCCCAGGAUGAAUCUUUUAGCAUCGGAACAUGAUCCACCUUUCUUCUCAGAUAUUGGGGAAGGCAUGGGCAUGAAUGCUAGGAAAUAAAUACAAUGCCUUUUAUUUAGACAGCACUUUGAAGUUUACAAAGCCUUUUCAUAGAUGUUAUUUCACUGGCACUAAAUAAAAGCCUGUGGGGCAGGUAUUACCCCCAUUUCUGUUAAGGUAAAUCAAGCUCAGAGAGGUUGAGAAACUUAGCCAAAGUCAUACAACUAGUUAGUGAACUAAUAAACCAAUUCUUCUGCCUGGCAAAGGAAUGUGUCUUCCACUCUGUAGUGGACAGCAGUGGUCUUCC
rnacentral:lncRNA from 1 species